UGGUUAUUAACACUAAUUAUAAUGAUUGUUACCUGUUCGUUUAAUUUUUAUCCACGCCCAUAAGUAAUUAAAUAUCCAAUUAUAUUUUAUAUUUCGGGAUUAACUUUAUGGGCGUGACUUUGUAAUUAUCGUCGAAAUAAAACCAAAAAGCCAAACGCAAAUUGUCACCUUUGACAUUUGCGAUCUAAAUUAAUAAACUUUAUAUUUUGGCCUUAUUUCAAUAUUUGGUUUUAUUUCGAAGGUAAAUAUAUUUUCAUUUUAUGUUAUUUUUAAUUGUCAAUUUUAAGAACUGUUUAUAUUGUGAGUUUAACCUUUGACAUUUGCGAUCUAAAUUAAUAAACUUUAUAUUUUGGCCUU
rnacentral:sRNA from 1 species